AGUGAACGCUGGCGGUAGGCCUAACACAUGCAAGUCGAACGGCAGCACAGUAAGAGCUUGCUCUUACGGGUGGCGAGUGGCGGACGGGGGAGGAAUACAGCGGAAUCUACUUUUUCGUGGGGGAUAACGUAGGGAAACUUACGCUAAUACCGCAUACGACCUACGGGUGAAAGCAGGGGAUCUUCGGACCUUGCGCGAUUGAGUGAGCCGAUGUCGGAUUAGCGAGUUGGCGGGGUAAAGGCCCACCAAGGCGACGAUCCGUAGCUGGUCUGAGAGGAUGAUCAGCCCCACCGGAACUGGACCAAGGUUCAGACCCCUCAGGGAGGGAGGAGUGGGGAAUAUUGGACAAUGGGGGGAAGCCUGGUCCAACCCUUCCAUCGCGGUUGAAAAAGCCCUCCGGUUUUAAAAGUCAUUUGUUUGGGAAGAAAAGUAGCAGGUUUAUCCCCCGCUGUUCUGAAGGUACCCAACGAAUAAGCACCGGCUAACUUCGUG
rnacentral:rRNA from 1 species